rnacentral:piRNA from 1 species
GAGUGUCUGCUGCACCAGAAAGGCA